rnacentral:rRNA from 1 species
CCUACGGGGGGCAGCAGUGAGGAAUAUUGGUCAAUGGGCGCGAGCCUGAACCAGCCAAGUCGCGUGAAGGAUGACUGCCCUACGGGUUGUAAACUUCUUUUAUAAAGGAAUAAAGUGAGGCACGUGUGCCUUUUUGUAUGUACUUUAUGAAUCAGAAUCGGCUAACUCCGUGCCAGCAGCCGCGGUAAUACGGAGGAUCCGAGCGUUAUCCGGAUUUAUUGGGUUUAAGGGGAGCGUAGAUGGGUUGUUAAGUCAGUUGUGAAAGUUUGCGGCUCAACCGUAAAAUUGCAAUUGAUACUGGCAGCCUUGAGUACAGUUGAGGUAGGCGGAAUUCGUGGUGUAGCGGUGAAAUGCGUAGAUAUUACGAAGAACUCCGAUGGCGAAGGCAGCUUACUAAACUGCAACUGACAUUGAUGCUCGAAAGUGUGGGUAUCAAACAGGAUUAGAUACCCGAGUAGUC